rnacentral:rRNA from 1 species
UGGGGAAUAUUGCACAAUGGGCGCAAGCCUGAUGCAGCCAUGCCGCGUGUAUGAAGAAGGCCUUCGGGUUGUAAAGUACUUUCAGUGAGGAGGAAGGCGUUGUGGUUAAUAACCGCAACGAUUGACGUUACUCGCAGAAGAAGCACCGGCUAACUCCGUGCCAGCAGCCGCGGUAAUACGGAGGGUGCAAGCGUUAAUCGGAAUUACUGGGCGUAAAGCGCACGCAGGCGGUCUGUCAAGUCGGAUGUGAAAUCCCCGGGCUCAACCUGGGAACUGCAUCCGAAACUGGCAGGCUAGAGUCUUGUAGAGGGGGGUAGAAUUCCAGGUGUAGCGGUGAAAUGCGUAGAGAUCUGGAGGAAUACCGGUGGCGAAGGCGGCCCCCUGGACAAAGACUGACGCUCAGGUGCGAAAGCGUGGGGAGCAAACA